UUGUUGCAUAUAUGACGUUUUUCUGUUCAGUUGUUCGUGGUAUCCUGCGUUUUCUUUAUUAAAUCGUGAAUACACUGCUGUAUCUAGAUCCUGUUUCUACUUAUUUGCAACUACGUUGUGACAGAAUAACAGACCAUAUCAUGGAUCUAGCAGCAGUAAAUAUGGACUUGGCUGGCUGUGACCUGACUACCUCCUAAAGAUCCUGAUCGAGAGAGACUGCAUCUUCACCAUCAGUGCAGUGAGAGAAAGUCACCAGUCAUCAUGGCCGCCAUUCCAGAGUCUUGUUUUCAUCAUGGCUGCAACGCCUGAGUCUGUUCCUAUCUUGAGUCAGAGAAUGAACACCAGAGAAUGAAGCAGUGCUAUAUGUCCUCAGCCGUAGUGGCCAAGCAAAGCUCCUGGGUCAAGGCCAUGAACGCUUCACCACCAUGGCCCCUUGAACUGCCUGCAACGCCAUGGUCCCCUGAACUGGCGGCGCCACCCUGGCUUCCGGUUCAGCAAAACCAUGCCUUCGUCAGCCUCCAGGGUGCCCACCCUCCCACCUCUGUAGAUGUAUUACGGCGUGAGGACUUACCUUCCUGUAUUCCUCCGAUCUCUCCCUGUUUGUCACUAUGGUUACUGAUUGAGUUAGUUAUGUUCAGGUGUGUCUAGUUAAUUAGCCCUCUUGUUUGAUCUGUAUUUAAGCUCUGUGUUUCAGUCUGCUCUUUGUCCGUUAUCGUUGCAUUUAGAUGGUUGCUCUGUUCUGAGUUCUUUUGUUAAUAAAACCUGUAAACUGCUGCAAAUA